rnacentral:misc_RNA from 1 species
GAUGAAGAACGUAGCGAAAUGCGAUACUUGGUGUGAAUUGCAGAAUCCCGUGAACCAUCGAGUCUUUGAACGCAAGUUGCGCCUCAAGCCAUUAGGUUGAGGGCACGUCUGCCUGGGCGUCACAUAUCGUUGCCUGAUGCCAGUUUCCUCGUGAUGGGUGACUGUGCAGGGCGAAUGAUGGCUUCCCGUGAGCAUUGUUGCCUCAUGGUUGGUUGAAAAUUGAGUCCUUGGUAGGGGGCGCCGUGAUAGAUGGUGGUUGAGUGACGAACGAGACCCAAUCAUGUGAGACCCCUACCGAAUUUGGCCUUCAUGACCCACAUGCGUCUUUGGAACGCUCAUGACGAGACCUCAGGUCAGGCGGGGCUACCCGCUGAGUUUAAGCAUAUCAAUAAGCGGAGGA